rnacentral:rRNA from 1 species
GCCUCAGUAACGGCGAGUGAAGCGGCAACAGCUCAAAUUUGAAAUCUGCCGCAAGGCCGAGUUGUAAUUUGUAGAGGAUGCUUCUGGGCAGCGGCCGGUCUAAGUUCCUUGGAACAGGACGUCAUAGAGGGUGAGAAUCCCGUAUGCGACCGGUUGGCACCCGUCACGUAGCUCCUUCGACGAGUCGAGUUGUUUGGGAAUGCAGCUCUAAAUGGGUGGUAAAUUCCAUCUAAAGCUAAAUACCGGCCAGAGACCGAUAGCGCACAAGUAGAGUGAUCGAAAGAUGAAAAGCACUUUGGAAAGAGAGUUAAAAAGCACGUGAAAUUGUUGAAAGGGAAGCGCAUGCAACCAGACUUGUCGGCGGUGUUCCGCCGGUCUUCUGACCGGUCUACUCGCCGCCGACAGGCCAGCAUCGUGUGGGUGCGCCGGAUAAAGGCGUCGGGAAUGUGGCCCCUCGGGGUGUUAUAGCCCGGCGCAUAAUACGGUGCCGCCCGCGCGAGGUCCGCGCUUCGGCUAGGAUGCUGGCGUAAUGGUCGUAUGCGGCCCGUCUUGAAACACGGACCAAGGAGUCUAACAUCUGUGCGAGUGUUCGGGUGUCAAACCCCUACGCGGAAUGAAAGUGAACGGAGGUGGGAGCUUCGGCGCACCAUCGACCGAUCCUGAUGUCCUCGGAUGGAUUUGAGUAAGAGCAUAGCUGUUGGGACCCGAAAGAUGGUGAACUAUGCCUGAAUAGGGUGAAGCCAGAGGAAACUCUGGUG